rnacentral:rRNA from 1 species
UACGUAGGGACCAAGCGUUGUUCGGAUUUACUGGGCGUAAAGGGCGCGUAGGCGGCUUAACAAGUCACUUGUGAAAUCUCCGGGCUUAACUCGGAACGGCCAAGUGAAACUGUCAAGCUAGAGUGCAGAAGGGGCAAUCGGAAUUCUUGGUGUAGCGGUGAAAUGCGUAGAUAUCAAGAGGAACACCUGAGGUGAAGACGGGUUGCUGGGCUGACACUGACGCUGAGGCGCGAAGACCAGGGGAGCAAACGGG